AGAGUUUGAUCCUGGCUCAGGAUGAACGCUAGCUACAGGCUUAACACAUGCAAGUCGAGGGGCAGCAUGGUCUUAGCUUGCUAAGGCCGAUGGCGACCGGCGCACGGGUGAGUAACGCGUAUCCAACCUGCCUUACACUCUUGGACAGCCUUCUGAAAGGGAGAUUAAUACAAGAUGUUAUCAUGAGUAAGCAUUUUCGCAUGAUUAAAGGUUUACCGGUGUAAGAUGGGGAUGCGUUCCAUUAGAUAGUAGGCGGGGUAACGGCCCACCUAGUCUUCGAUGGAUAGGGGUUCUGAGAGGAAGGUCCCCCACAUUGGAACUGAGACACGGUCCAAACUCCUACGGGAGGCAGCAGUGAGGAAUAUUGGUCAAUGGACGAGAGUCUGAACCAGCCAAGUAGCGUGAAGGAUGAAGGUUCUAUGGAUUGUAAACUUCUUUUAUACGGGAAUAAACGAAUCCACGUGUGGAUUUUUGCAUGUACCGUAUGAAUAAGGAUCGGCUAACUCCGUGCCAGCAGCCGCGGUAAUACGGAGGAUCCGAGCGUUAUCCGGAUUUAUUGGGUUUAAAGGGAGCGUAGAUGGAUGUUUAAGUCAGUUGUGAAAGUUUGCGGCUCAACCGUAAAAUUGCAGUUGAUACUGGAUAUCUUGAGUGCAGUUGAGGCAGGCGGAAUUCGUGGUGUAGCGGUGAAAUGCUUAGAUAUCACGAAGAACUCCGAUUGCGAAGGCAGCUUACUAACCUGUAACUGACAUUGAUGCUCGAAAGUGUGGGUAUCAAACAGGAUUAGAUACCCUGGUAGUCCACACGGUAAACGAUGAAUACUCGCUGUAGGCGAUAUACAGUCUGCGGCCAAGCGAAAGCAUUAAGUAUUCCACCUGGGGAGUACGCCGGCAACGGUGAAACUCAAAGGAAUUGACGGGGGCCCG
rnacentral:rRNA from 1 species